UACGUAGGGGGGCAAGCGUUUGUCCGGAUUUAUUGGGCGUAAAGCGCGCGCAGGCGGCUUCUUAAGUCUGAUGUGAAAGCCCGUGGCUCAACCACGGAGGGUCAUUGGAAACUGGGGAGCUUGAGUACAGAAGAGGAGAGUGGAAUUCCACGUGUAGCGGUGAAAUGCGUAGAGAUGUGGAGGAACACCAGUGGCGAAAGCGGCUCUCUGGUCUGUAACUGACGCUGAGGCGCGAAAGCUAGGGGAGCAAACGGG
rnacentral:rRNA from 1 species